AGGAUUCCCCUAGUAACUGCGAGUGAAGCGGGAAAAGCUCAAAUUUAAAAUCUGGCAGUCUUUGGCUGUCCGAGUUGUAAUCUAGAGAAGUAUUAUCCGCGCUGGACCGUGUACAAGUCUCCUGGAAUGGAGCGUCAUAGAGGGUGAGAAUCCCGUCUUUGACACGGACUGCCAGGGCUUUGUGAUGUGCUCUCAAAGAGUCGAGUUGUUUGGGAAUGCAGCUCAAAAUGGGUGGUAAAUUCCAUCUAAAGCUAAAUAUUGGCGAGAGACCGAUAGCGAACAAGUACCGUGAGGGAAAGAUGAAAAGAACUUUGGAAAGAGAGUUAAACAGUACGUGAAAUUGCUGAAAGGGAAACGCUUGAAGUCAGUCGCGUUGGCCAGGGAUCAACCUUGCUUUUUUGCUUGGCUUACUUUCUGGUUGAUGGGUCAGCAUCAAUUUUGACUGGUGGAAAAAGUUCAAGGGAAUGUGGCAUCUUCUGAUGUGUUAUAGCCUUUGUUCGCAUACAUCGGUUGGGAUUGAGGAACUCAGCACGCCGCAAGGCCGGGUUUUUAACCACGUACGUGCUUAGGAUGCUGGCAUAAUGGCUUUAAUCGACCCGUCUUGAAACACGGACCAAGGAGUCUAACAUGCCUGCGAGUGUUUGGGUGAAAAACUCGAGCGCGUAAUGAAAGUGAAAGUUGAGAUCCCUGUCAUGGGGAGCAUUGACGCCCGGAUCUGACCUUUUGUGACGAUUCUGCGGUAGAGCAUGUAUGUUGGGACCCGAAAGAUGGUGAACUAUGCCUGAAUAGGGUGAAGCCAGAGGAAACUCUGGUGGAGGCUCGUAGCGAUUCUGACGUGCAAAUCGAUCGUCAAAUUUGGGUAUAGGGGCGAAAGACUAAUCGAACCAUC
rnacentral:rRNA from 1 species